GAAAAUCCUUUUUUAUUUGCUUAAUCUAUACAUAUAUUUUAUUUUACUUAGGAUGUGAAAUUCGAAAGUAACUACCAAUCAUCAAUAGUAUACUUACCAGCAUAUCACCAUGCAGGACGCCAAUUAUGCACCAGAGAAGAACAAGCGAUUUACGAAAUUCCAGAUUUAGUGAGAAGCAAGCAAAAUACCAGCCGAUCUUGGAGAGAACCUGGAGAUGGAAACUCUAGUAUAGGAUCGGAUGAUGACAAUGAAGACGAUCUCGUGCUCUCUUCCAAGGAUCACAUAUUUAUAGAAGAAGCUCGAGAGUCAGAAACAGAAUGUGACCGUCUCUGGAAAAGUUUUGAAAGCAGUCAAUAUGAGGAGACCAAGCGAUGGCCAUCUGAAAGAGAAAGAGUUGUUUUAACAUAAAGUACUUACAAGUGAUAAUUGUGAUGAGCUUAAUUUGGAAUGAAUUGGAUCAUAAAUCAAACUGAUUGGUGCUAUAAGAGCAAAUGGAUGUGAUUAUAAGAGAAAUGAAUUGACUCAAUUUCUUUAUUUGUACAAAUAUUUUUAUGAAUAAAAUUUGUUGUAUUCCC